UACGAAGGGGGCUAGCGUUGCUCGGAAUCACUGGGCGUAAAGGGUGCGUAGGCGGGUCUUUAAGUCAGGGGUGAAAUCCUGGAGCUCAACUCCAGAACUGCCUUUGAUACAGCACAUCUGGAGUCCGGAAGAGGUGGGUGGAAUUCCUAGUGUAGAGGUGAAAUGCGUAGAUAUUGGGAGGAACACCAGUGGCGAAGGCGGCUCACUGGACCGGUACUGACGCUGAGGUGCGAAAGCGUGGGGAGCAAACAGG
rnacentral:rRNA from 1 species